rnacentral:rRNA from 1 species
UACAGAGGGUGCGAGCGUUGUCCGGAAUCACUGGGCGUAAAGGGCGCGUAGGUGGCGAGAUAAGCGUGUGGUGAAAGCCCGGGGCUCAACCCCGUGUCUGCCAUGCGGACUGUCUUGCUCGAGCGUAGUAGAGGCAGGUGGAAUUCCGGGUGUAGCGGUGGAAUGCGUAGAGAUCCGGAAGAACACCGGUGGCGAAGGCGGCCUGCUGGGCUACUGCUGACACUGAUGCGCGACAGCGUGGGGAGCAAACAGG